AGAAGCUUACUUCGGUAAGUGGAAAGUGGCAGACGGGUGAGUAACGCGUGGCAACCUACCUUUUUCUACGGAACAACAGUUGGAAACGACUGCUAAUACCGUAUACGCCCUCCGGGGGAAAGAUUUAUCGGUGAAAGAUGGGGCCGCGUUAGAUUAGCUAGUUGGUGGGGUAAUGGCUCACCAAGGCGACGAUCUAUAGCUGGUCUGAGAGGAUGAUCAGCCACACUGGGACUGAGACACGGCCCAGACAACUACGGUUGGCAGCAGUGGGGAAUAUUGGACAAUGGGGGCAACCCUGAUCCAGCCAUGCCGCGUGAAUGAUGAAGGCCUUAGGGUUGUAAAAUUCUUUCGCUAGGGAUGAUAAUGACAGUACCUAGUAAAGAAGCCCCGGCUAACUCCGUGCCAGCAGCCGCGGUAAUACGGAGGGGGCUAGCGUUGUUCGGGAUUACUGGGCGUAAAGCGUGCGUAGGCGGAUUAUUAAGUUAGGGGUGAAAUCCCGGGGCUCAACCUCGGAACUGCCUCUAAAACUGGUAAUCUAGAGAUAUGGAGAGGUAAGUGGAAUUCCUAGUGUAGAGGUGAAAUUCGUAGAUAUUAGGAGGAACACCAGAGGCGAAGGCGGCUUACUGGACAUAUACUGACGCUGAGGCACGAAAGUGUGGGUAGCAAACAGGAUUAGAUACCCUGGUAGUCCACACCGUAAACGAUGAGAGCUAGUUGUCUGCAGGCAUGCCUGUAGGUGACGCAGCUAACGCAUUAAGCUCUCCGCCUGGGGAGUACGGUCGCAAGAUUAAAACUCAAAGAAAUUGACGGGGGCCCGCACAA
rnacentral:rRNA from 1 species